GUCUUAAAUUCUCAACAUACACUCACAGCUAUCUGCGGAUUGAGAUGUAGACCUCUCGGCUCCUCCAACCUUGCUUCAUCUAACGCUGCACGUGGCCCAUGUGACCUGUCUACCUUGGCUGCCACGCGCCUAGCCCUGCUGCCGAUCUUCAUUCUUGACAAUCUGCUGGGGGAAGAUAAUGUCUUGUACUUACUUUUAAAUGUGUUCCUCUGGCCACUGGGAUGGUUGAACAUCUUUUCUGAUUCUUCUUCAUCCACCUGCGUCUCAGGAAAUGAGUCUUGGAGGAGCACACUGGCUAAGGCCUCCACAGAGCUCAGCUCACCUCUGCUGAGGCGCCACAGUGAGUGUCAAGCUUCAAGCUGUGAGCUUCACAGAGGGUGUGGCACUAGGAGGUGUGGCCUUGUUCGAGUAGGCCUUCUGGGGGUGUAG
rnacentral:lncRNA from 1 species